CGGACCACCGCCGGCCACCGGCAAUUUAUUUAUCAAUAGGUAUCCCAGUACGAAACGGCGAACUAAACCAGUUUCGUGUUCUUUAAUUGGCUGAAACCGUUACAGAAUACCAAACCAGCCUACACACACGGCGCACAAUGUUGUUAUAAACUUAUAUUUAUAUCUAAAGAAUACCGAGCGUCCAUUUACGCUAACCUGACCAAUUCGCAAUGCCAAACAAGUUCGAAAUUCGAAUAUUUACUUGUGGAACAUGGCGGAGCGGCAACGUGGCACGUUCUCGUUCAGCGCGCAGCGCGGCAACGUCGCACCGCCAUUUCGCCACCGAGUAAAUAAAUAUCCAACAGCAGAGUCCAAGCUUCAAUCAUAAUGUCACGAGUGGGGAAAAAUAACCUAACAAUUUUGAUUGAUUAUCACAAUACGAGAGGGAAAAAUAUAUGAAUAUUCUGUUUCAUUAUUUCUAUUAAUAUCCAAACUUAUAUAUUUUAAUUAGUUCAGUUAAUUAGUAAAUCGAUUACCACGGUGUGUUUACGUGCUUGAAGUCGUCCCUGAACCUGAUAUCUAAGCGUUACCGCCAAAUAACGUAACCAAAUGUUAUUUGAUUGACGAUCUUCUGUAAAGACAAAGAGUAGAGAUAGUACGAGUGAGCUCAAGCGCAUCUGCGGUGCGAGCGGACUCUACACAACUUCUUUAUGGCUUAAUAAACGAAAUAAAUCCAGUUUUUAUAAUAUUAA